GGCAAUCGGCCAACUUCACAGAGUUAGUUCACAAUGUGUCAUUUUAAAGCUCAUUACUUUUCUCUGUAUUAAUCUUUUAUUGCUGAGUCUCUCCUUCUUUUCAUCACAUGCCUUCGUGCUAUUCUGGCAAGUGAAAAUCGUUUUAUUUGACACUUUUCACAUAUUGAUUUGGAUAAAGUAGUCGUCACAAGGAUUGAAAAUUGGCUUGAGGGUGAAGGACUGGAUCCAGUCUGAGAAUUGGAUGGUAAGCGUUAGAUUGCAUAAGAAACCAACUAGUGGAGCAAGUCUGCCUUGCAGGCAGCAUGCAGCCAGGCCGGAGAAUUGAGAGGGACAGUUUAGCAAUUUUUUCUCAAUUCAUUCAGCCUUCCACUAGAAUACAGGCAAUGGGAAAUUGGGCCGAGGAUGAAACUCCAAAGUUAAGGCCCCAUUUGUUCAUGUGUACCUGAAUCAUAGUUAGUUUACGUGCAGAGAGGUAGCUGAUAAAAUAUGAAUCUGGUCCCCAAAAAGGAAGACAUGGCGAAAGGAAUGCUGGGUACAAAGGUUCUGAACUUCACGUGGACAAGGUUGCAUCUUACUCAUAUCUCUGUCACCUGAAACACUUGGCACAGCAUGUGGACCACAGUGGCUCCUUGGAAUAACUCAACUGGUCAACUGGUCUUGACCUGAAGGAUUUUUACGCCAAACAUUACAGCAUUUUCUGAAUUUGGAAGAAGUGAAAUUCCUACCAGCUUUCUUUAUAUACAAGGUCUGGUUGGUCAAGAUUCUGUAAAACUUUU